CUGGACCACAAUGACACUUGUUGGAAAAGGAAGGACCAAAGGUGCCAUCGUCGAGGGCCCAGAUAGAUGAAGAGAUUGAAGCCUGGGCUGCACACAAUCCUAAAAUCUAGGAAGAAGUCGCCACCCACUGAUGAUCUCAUCCACGUUUACCAAAGACUCCAAAGCAGUGUAGGAGAGGAAUGGUGGCCUGUUCGAACAGGCAUGGACUGAAUCGCCAGCUCUCAUCUCCCUAGUCAUUCCGAUGGCCACGUGUCGCUCCUCGAUCAACAGCGAUUUCAAUGAAUGAUGCGUUGAUGUGGGCAAAAAGUGAAUCCUUUCUCGCCUUUGAACUCUGGUGUUCGUCGUAUCAAUCCAUUUUGAUUGCCAAGCAACUUGUGGGCACACCUCAACUUGUUAGUGGGAAGUAAUUUGCAAUAGAGUGACUUACUUUUAUGGGCAGAGACCUGUAUUCAUCCACGACCGGAAGUGUGGCACAGUCACAUAGAGCUUAUCAAAAUGUCAAGUUGUGGUAAAUACAUGGCUGGGAUGGACCAAAGUGGAAUUAAUUCUCAAUCUGUGGUUGAUUCUUAAUCUACAGAGUCAGGCCAUCACAGAAAUAUGCUUUUUGAUAAUAUAUUUAAGAAAAUGUGGUCUCACUGGUCAGUUUAGAACUUGUACUUUGACAGGGCCAUAUCAAUGCACCAGUGACGUUUUGAUGGAUAUGGUGUACGGAAAUCUCUUUUUCUCAGGCAAUCGGUAUUGGAAUUUUUUAAAACUUUAUUAUGCUAUUGGCAAAGGGUUCUUCUUGACACAUAUAAAAUUUUGUGCAGAUUGAUUGGUCCAAUGAGUACUUUUUUACCAAAACCUAUGCACAACAAUGUACACGU